rnacentral:rRNA from 1 species
CCUGGUGGCGAGCGGCGAACGGGUGGGUAACACAUCGGAACAUGCCCAGUCGUGGGGGAUAACACUUCGAAAGAAGUGCUAAUACCGCAUACGUCCUGAGGGAGAAAGCGGGGGAUCGCAAGACCUCGCGCGAUUGGAGUGGCCGAUGUCAGAUUAGCUAGUUGGUGGGGUAAAGGCCUACCAAGGCAACGAUCUGUAGCUGGUCUGAGAGGAUGAUCAGCCACACUGGGACUGAGACACGGCCCAGACUCCUACGGGAGGCAGCAGUGGGGAAUUUUGGACAAUGGGGGCAACCCUGAUCCAGCCAUUCCGCGUGAGUGAAGAAGGCCUUCGGGUUGUAAAGCUCUUUCGGCAGGAACGAAACGGUGAGCUCUAACAUAGCUUGCUAAUGACGGU